rnacentral:tRNA from 6 species
GAGCCAUUAGCUCAGUUGGUAGAGCAUCUGACUUUUAAUCAGAGGGUCAGAGGUUCAAAUCCUCUAUGGCUCACCA